GACAGAGGCCUCGAGCGUUAGGCGGAAUCACUGGGCUUAAAGCGUGUGUAGGCGGGCCCGUAAGUGUCUUGUGAAAUCCCACGGCUCAACCGUGGAACUGCUGGGCAUACUGCGGGUCUUGGGCCAACUAGGGGCAGCCGGAACAAGCCGUGUAGCGGUGAAAUGCGCAGAUAUCAGGAAGAACACCAAUGGCGAAAGCAGCUUUCUGGGACGGUACUGACGCUGAGACGCGAAAGCGUGGGGAGCGAACAGG
rnacentral:rRNA from 1 species